CGCUCUAGUUCUCGCCUUCCCAAACUAAGC
rnacentral:piRNA from 1 species